rnacentral:rRNA from 1 species
GGGGGGGGCGGGGGGCGGGCGGGGCGCCUGCCAGUCGAGCGGCACGGCCCUACUUUUGUGGGGUGCUCGGGUGGCGGACGGGUGGGUACCACGGGGGUAACCUGCCCUUGACGUUGGGAUAACUUCAGGAAACUGGGGCUAAUCCCGGAUAGGAGCUCCUGCUGCCUUGUGGGGGUUGUACAGUUUCGGCGGUUGGGGAUGGACUCGCGGCUUAUCAGCCUGGUGGUGGGGUAGUGGCUUACCAAGGCUUUGACGGGUAGCCGGCCUGAGAGGGUGACCGGCCACAUUGGGACUGAGAUACGGCCAAGACUCCUACGGGAGGCAGCAGUGGGGAAUAUUGCACAAUGGGCGGAAGCCUGAUGCAGCAACGCCGCGUGCGGGAUGACGGCCUUCGGGUUGUAAACCGCUGUCGCCUGUGACGAAGCGUGAGUGACGGUAAUGGGUAAAGAAGCACCGGCUAACUACGUG